rnacentral:rRNA from 1 species
GGUGCAUGGCAGACGGGUGAGUAACGCGUGGGGAAUCUACCUCUUUGUGGGGAAUAACGCUCCGAAAGGAGUGGUAAUACCGCAUGAGAUCCAUGGCUGGGAUGCUGUGGAUGAAACCUGGGGACCGCAAGGCCUGGGGCAAGGAGAGGAUCCUGCGUCUGAUUAGCUAGUUGGUGAGGUAAUGGCCCACCAAGGCGACGAUCAGUAGCCGGCCUGAGAGGGUGAUCGGCCACACUGGAACUGAGACACGGUCCAGACUCCUACGGGAGGCAGCAGUGGGGAAUUUUGCGCAAUGGGCGAAAGCCUGACGCAGCAACGCCGCGUGGGUGAUGAAGGUCUUCGGAUCGUAAAACCCUGUCGUCGGGGACGAAGGUGGAGGGGUUAAUAGCCUCUUUGCUUGACGGUACCCGGAGAGGAAGCCCCGGCUAACUCUGUGCCAGCAGCCGCGGUAAUACAGAGGGGGCAAGCGUUAUUCGGAAUUAUUGGGCGUAAAGGGCGCGUAGGCGGCUUUUUAAGUGAGAUGUGUAAUCCCUGAGCUCAACUUGGGAACUGCAUCUCAUACUGGGAGGCUAGAGUACUGGAGAGGGUGGUAGAAUUCCACGCGUAGCGGUGAAAUGCGUAGAGAUGUGGAGGAAUACCAGUGGCGAAGGCGGCCACCUGGACAGUAACUGACGCUGAGGCGCGAAAGUGUGGGUAGCAAACAGGAUUAGAUACCCUGGUAGUCCACACUGUAAACGAUGAACACUUGGUGUGGAGGGAGUUGACCCCUUCCGUGCCGUAGCUAACGCGUUAAGUGU